rnacentral:rRNA from 1 species
CGCAGCAGGCGCGAAUCCUCUGCAAUAGGCGAAAGCUUGACAGGGAUACUGUGAGUCGAUCUCCGAUAAGGAGAUCUUCUGCCAUCUCUAAAAAUGGUGCUGAAUAAGGCGCUGGUCAAGUCUGUCGUCACCCGCCCCGGUAAUACGAGCACCCCGAGUGUUCGGGACAUUUAUUGGGCUUAAAGCAUCCGUAGCCGCUUCUACAAGUCUUCCGUUAAUAUCCACUGUGUUUAACAGAUGGCCUUCGGAAGAUACUAUUAGAGCUAGAGAGCCGGGAGAGGCAAGCGGUACUCGAUGGGUAGGGGUAAAAUCCGUUGAUCCAGUGAAGACCACCAGUGGCGAAGGCGUCUUGCCAGAACGCGUUCGACGGUGAGGGAUGAAAGCUGGGGGAGCAAACCGGAUUAGAUACCCGGGUAGUCCCAGCUGUAAACGAUACAGACUCGGUGUUAGAGUUGGCUUAUUCCUUACUCAGUGCCGCGGGGAAGCCGUUAAGUGUGCCGCCUGGGGAGUACGGUCGCAAGACUGAAACUUAAAGGAAUUGGCGGGGGA